rnacentral:tRNA from 1 species
UCAGAGUAUGGCUAAACAGUAAAGCACCUCCCUUACACUGAGAAAAUAUCUGUGCAAAUCAGAUUACUCUGAU